rnacentral:rRNA from 1 species
AGAGUUUGAUCCUGGCUCAGAAUCAACGCUGGCGGCGUGCCUCAGACAUGCAAGUCGAACGCGAAAGUUCCCUUCGGGGAGCGAGUAGAGUGGCGCACGGGUGAGUAACACGUAGGUAAUCUACCUUUGGAUGGGGAAUAACAACCGGAAACGGUUGCUAAUACCGCAUAAUGCAGCGGCACCUAAUGGUGACAGUUGUUAAAGCGGGGGAUCGAAAGACCUCGCGUCUGAAGAGGAGCCUGCGGCAGAUUAGCUAGUUGGUAAGGUAACGGCUUACCAAGGCGAUGAUCUGUAACCGGCCUGAGAGGGCGGUCGGUCACACUGACACUGACAUACGGGUCAGACUCCUACGGGAGGCAGCAGUCGGGAAUUUUGGGCAAUGGGCGAAAGCCUGACCCAGCAACGCCGCGUGAAGGAUGAAAUCCCUCGGGAUGUAAACUUCGCAAGA